rnacentral:lncRNA from 12 species
AUGGGACAGUUAUGACUGAUGAUACACAAAAUUGCAAUUCAGCACACAGAACUACAUCUACAGCAGCUUCCUCUUAAUAGUUAAUGAAGUUUUUCUGAGUACCACUCAGCACAGUGAAUGAACAAAGAUGGAGAUAAAAAAGGCUUCAAAACAGCUUUACUCUUCCUUUCCUCCCUAGCACAACAGGCAGGCCAGAGAGAGGGAGGAGGGAAGGAAGAGAUGUGUGGCAUGAGGAGGAACAGCAAGCAAUACAGUGCUUCUCCUGCCAGGAUGCAUUUAUUGCACAGCUUCUCUUGGAGUUACAGCCCAGCCAGGACCACAGAGAGCUCGGCUGUUAGCAGAGUGUCAACCUUCCACAGCUCACUAAAGCUGGAUGCCAAACCUGUGCACAUGGAGGGGGUGGUGGUAUGCUGGGAUGGGUGUGUGAAAACAGAAGGAGCAAGAACACAAAAAACAAGCUGCUGGUGGUGGAUGUUUUUCCUGGGAAGGCCGUAUGGGAAGGACAGGAGAGAUGGGAACACGGUGCUUCACUCUUCCUCAGCUGGACUGGACAAGUGAAUAUGGAUAGUGAGAUCAGAAAGGAGGACAAUCAAAGUGUUGUGGCAGACAGUAAUAUGCUCCAGAAUAGAGUGUAAUCAAACAAUUUUAGUUUUCCAAAACCAC